AGCCCUAAACCCUUCUUUCCUGCAGCUCUUCAACUGGAAGUCGAGUCUUCCGUUUUUCACCCACACCGUCCCCUCGGCGAUGGCUUCAGGCUGCAGCAGAAUUGCGCAAAGGACAUUUCUUGCAUCCGCUAAAUCUGCCAUUAAAUCCAAUCUUCGUACUCCUUCAUCCAAAUCAGCCGCCACUCCGGCUAGUCCUAUCAAAUCAACCACUUCUACUUUUCGCAAAUCCUCCUUGACCAGCAGGAUUGCGCCGGAGCUGGGAUGCCUGCAGUCAAUGUUGCCGCUACACAGUGCGGUUGCAGCGGCAAGAAUGACGUCGUGCCUGAGCAUAACUUCCAGGAGUUGCCGAGCUCUUUCUCAGGGCACAUAGUUAAUUGGGAAUCUGCGGGACCUACCAAUUAUGGCCUACUGCUUCAUUAUCAAAGCUUGGAUUGUCAGUUCCAAGGUGACCUGCCAAGAGAGAGUUGAUAUAAUUAACACAUCUGAAGGCUUUUUUGUUUUGGAUGAUUUUUCGGGAUCCAGCGAGCAGCUGUACUGUGAUUCUUUUAAGCUCAUAAAUUAGUAUCAUGAUGAAUAAUGUUUAGUCUCCCCAUUUUUAUGAAAUUAUGUCACUCAUAAUUACUAAAUGAAAUUCAGACCAUCUGCACCUAUCUCUAUUUAUUAUUAUUAUUAUUAUUACUA